ACUCAAAUGAAUUGACGGGGACCCGCACAAGCAGCGGAGCGUGUGGUUUAAUUCGAUGCUACACGAAGAACCUUACCCGGGUUUGACAUAUAGGUAGUAGUGAACCGAAAGGGGAACGACCCGCAAGGGAGCCUAUACAGGUGUUGCAUGGCUGUCGUCAGCUCGUGUCGUGAGAUGUUGGUUUAAGUACCCUAACGAGCGCAACCCUUACUGCCAGUUACAGGUGUCUGGCGGGACUGCCGGCCACAAGCCGGAGGAAGGCGAGGAUGAUGUCAAGUCAGCAUGGCCUUUAUAUCCGGGGCCACACACACGCUACAAUGGGUAGCACAAUAGGUAGCCAAGUCGUGAGGCGGAGCCAAUCCUAAAAACUACCCUCAGUUCAGAUUGCAGGCUGCAACCCGCCUGCAUGAAGUCGGAGUUGCUAGUAAACGCGCGUCAGCCAUAGUGCGUUGAAUACGUUCCCGGGUCUUGUACACACCGCCCGU
rnacentral:rRNA from 1 species